rnacentral:lncRNA from 1 species
CCUCCUUUCCCUCAGAGGAUGUCCACCUUCCAGAUCAACCUCAACCCGCUCAAGGAGCCGCUCGGCUUCAUCAAGAUCCUCGAGUGGGUGAGUGCAGCCUACGACGCGGUCCUCGCCCAGUCCAGCGCGGGGCGCCUUGCGGGGAGGCGGGGCCCCGGUAGUGAGGGAGCCCCCGCGCUCGAAGGCCGCGGGGAGGAGAUGGCGGCCGGCGUCGAGUCUCCGGUGCCGGCGGCUCCUCCCGGCCGCCCCUAGCCGCGGAGGCGUGGGAGCUCGCUCGCUUUUUUCUCAGGCUUCACUGCGGUCCGCCAAGGAAGACAGGACUUCCUGCUGCGGUCCAACAGAUUACGGACCGCCCGGAGGCCCGCGCCUUCCGCGGGCGAGGCUAGACCUGGGUUGCGUCCUUCGCUGGCGGCGGUUUGCUUCUAUCUUUGCUUUUGCCACCUGUGGUGGGUUUAAGGGCAAAACAGAAAUUCAAGUGAAUUGUCUUUCUGCACCUGGUGAAAAUAAGACGAUUACAGCUACUUUUGGUUAUCCAUUCAGGUUGAAUCAGGCAUCAUUUCAUUCAGCUCCAAAUGUCAAUGUGUGUAAGGUGAAUUGGGAAAAGCAUGUCCUCAUAGGUGAUUACUCCUCUUCCGCACAGUUCUAUGUCACCUUUGCAGUCUUGGUGUUCCUGUACUGCAUUGCUGCCCUUCUCCUCUAUGUUGGUUACACCAACCUCUACCGGGAUAGUCGCAAACUGCCCAUGAUCAUCUUUGGCUUUCUGAAUAUGAUACUUUGGGGAGGAAAUGCUUGGUUUGUGUACAAGGAGACCAGCUUACAUAGUCCAUCAAAUACGUCAGCUUCUCAUGGCCAAGGAGGUGUCCCACCCACUUCUGGAAUGUAAUUAAAGGGAGAAAUACACUGUAUGAAAUGUGUGCUAUACUAUGCCUUGUUGCCAACAUCUUGAGAAGCAUUAUUGUUUCUAAUAAAAAGUAAUGGCUUUUUCAGUAAAUUGUGGGUUU